CGCAAUGGGCGAAAGCCUGACGGAGCAACGCCGCGUGAGGGACGAAGGCCUCUGGGCUGUAAACCUCUUUUCUCAAGGAAGAAGAUAUGACGGUACUUGAGGAAUAAGCCACGGCUAAUUCCGUGCCAGCAGCCGCGGUAAUACGGGAGUGGCAAGCGUUAUCCGGAAUUAUUGGGCGUAAAGCGUCCGCAGGCGGCUUUUCAAGUCUGCUGUUAAAGCGUGGAGCUUAACUCCAUCAUGGCAGUGGAAACUGAAAGGCUUGAGUAUGGUAGGGGCAGAGGGAAUUCCCGGUGUAGCGGUGAAAUGCGUAGAUAUCGGGAAGAACACCAGUGGCGAAGGCGCUCUGCUGGGCCAUUACUGACGCUCAUGGACGAAAGCCAGGGGAGCGAAAGGGAUUAGAUACCCCUGUAGUCCUGGCCGU
rnacentral:rRNA from 1 species